rnacentral:lncRNA from 1 species
UGUUGGGUUUUGAGCAUUCUAACACUCCUAAGUGUACAUGCAACCCUAAAUACCUUGGAUCUAUGUUUUCUCUAUUAUACAUGCAAAUAAGAACUUCCAAGGUAUUAUCCUAAUCUAGCAUACAAAACACUAACUAUAGCAAGAUAGAAUACAUACCUUUUUAUGUAGAAAGUCCUCAUGAAGCUUGAGUGCCUAGUGCCCCAAGUGUGACACCUCAAAUGGAAUCACAAUCAUCAAAACACUUGGAAUAGCUUGAGAGAAUUCUACACUUCAUGAAACCGGCUAGCCCUUUCACUUCACACACUAGUGGCCGAUUUGGUCAAGAAUAAGAUGCUUAUAUAGUUAGGGUUACACCAUGUAAACCCUAAUUGACAUGGCCUUUCAUUUCCAUGAUCCAUGGGUACAAAUACACCAUGGAGCAUCCAUGGACCAUCCUAUGGGUUUUAGCCCAACUUGAUUAUCCAUGGAGCAUUAGCCCACUAUACAAGUAUGGAUGAUUUACACAAUCAACCCAUAUAUUUAAUUAGUCUUCUUUUGAUCACUUAAUUAAUCCUAGAUUAAUUCUUGAUCAAUACUAAUUAAAUAAUCUCAUUAUUCUUAUUAUUAAUAUACUAGAACUUAUAAUAUAUUAAUAACCAUAAGUGUCUUAUUUCUCUCAUUAUAGUCUAUCCAAGUGCAUGAUGGUAUGCAACCCAAAUGGACCAUGCCGGGUCGGGUCAAGUCUUACCAAUUAUAGUUAUGGACUUAGACAUUAAUCCAACAGUCUCCCACUUGGAUAAGUCUAAAACUAUUAUUGCGUAUGACUUCAGGAACCAACUGGCAAUCGUAGCUCUCAAAAGCUUCUGUCGAACUCUGACCUUGUAGAUGAACUCUGACCUUUGUCAGUGACUUGUCCAUUAGAUAAGGGAUCAUAUAUUCCUCCAUUCUAGAUAUCAUAUGGACUGAGACAUGGAUUAUAAUCAUUCUCUCUGUCCAUUUGUUGUUUCCCGAUUUCCGAUUUAUGACGACUGACUAAUUGAACAAAUCAAAUCAGUCCUGGCCCGGCCGAGCACUUCCAUUUGUCAUCAUCAAAUCAUCGAGGGGCCCACAGAUAUCGCUUUUAUCCCGAAGGUAAAAGGAAUGGAUAAACUUCGACUCAUAUGGCUUGUUCUACUACUUGUUGAAUCAUACACAAAGGCACGUUUUAUAGCACCGAGUUACCAAAUGCGUUUUCGUGCAAUCAAUGUACUAUCAACUCAUAGUAACAACUCAUAUCUCUAGGUUUGAAGAAUAUAAGAUAUUAUCGUCUCAUGAUCACUCGUGAUAAAAUCCAUGAAGUGAUUCCAAUGAGCGCGGGUUGAAUCCAAUACUCAGAACUUAUGAGCACUCAUGAGUGUUGUAGCCCUUUGUCCAACACCUUAGACCUCUACAAGCCAACCCAUGACAGUCUUAAUUCAUAUCUACUUCCAACAUAUGACCGACUGUGGAUGGUUUGAAUAACUUAGUCAUUCCGGAAGAAUAACCUAGUUUAUUCGGGAAGUCAAAACAUGCAAAGUGAAACACAAUAAUAAUUGAAUCCAAUAUGGUAUCAACCCUUUGAACAUAAAUAAAACACCUUUUAUUUAUCACCAUAUGAUUACACAUUAUUCAUUGUAUACUGUUUCAGCUAUCAACUUUAUUCUUGAAUUUAAAACAAUAGUUGUCCCAUGCUCCAAGCAUGUACACUAUGUUUUCUUAAACACUAGUCAUGCCACACACCAAGUAUGCAUACUAUGUUUGUCUAUGAUCUUUACUUUGUGAACUAGAUCAAUUGAACAUAACUUCAAUGAUUCUCUUUUCACACUCCCAAAUCCUUACUGCAAAUGCAAGAAUUCCAAAUUCAUGCCAUUUACUGAAAUCUGUUAGAUUCUAAACUUAUAUGCAUUGAUCCUCUUGUAAUGAUUAUGCACAAAGUCAGAAAGACUUGACAACAAUCAUUACAGAGUAUUCCAAAGGAGAUCAGCUCCUUGGAAACAUCCUUCUUGCAUUAAGUUUCCUAAUCUUAAACAGAUUGAAAAUUCUAACUUUGAAACAUUUCCAGAUUCCAUUUUGACUAUCACUUCUGAACAAGAGUUGCCUCCUUACAGAUUAUGUCAAUAUGGUCCUUCCAGAAUUAUCACUAUACUUCCAACUGUCCUUGAGCAACCAAUCUUUGGUAAACCUUAGAUUGUCCUCGACAAUUGUUUAAUCCUUUUAGUCAUAUCCAGUUCUAAACCUUUUCCCUUCUUAAUGCCCCAGGCAUUUGGAAAAUUUUAGAACGGAUGAAUAUAGCACAUGUAAUCGAUCCUAUAUCCGAAGCAUAUGGGACACGAUUCAUGAUGUCUCACAUAAAGACUAAACCAGUCUUUUGCUAUAACAUUUCCAUUUCAAUUUGCCAAGUUCUCAUAAUUCAGAUUAUGAAAAGGGAUGCCGUAAUCAUAAUCGAAUUUUAGAACGCAAAUAAUGGACCCAUAUACAGAAUUUCCUUAUGUUGAGCCAUUCCAACAUGAAAUUCAUAUAUAUCCUUGACUAAAUGAUUAAAACCUCACGAUCUAAGCUUAUAGAUUUGAGAUGAAGUAUAAUUUCCUCUCCCUUAAUUAUAGCAAAACAACUUUUUCCCAAUUGAAACUUUUGUUUUCUAUAAUUAACAUUGCUAACUUGCAAUACUUAUCAUAAUUAUCAUGCUCCCACUAACAUGAUGAUUAUUAGCAUAACACUUAUGCUCCCACUAGCUUUGACAUGUACUCAGAAAUCAGCUGGACUUCUAGAAAUCAAUACUUCAUUGACUUUCUUACCAAAGUUCAGAUUUCUGAUGCUAGAUUGUUUUGAUAAAACUUUAUCAAAAUCAUACACCUUCCCUUAGAUAGCACACUUGUGUAUCUAAACAAUUAUGAAGAGGGAUGCCGUAAUCAUAAUGUUUAGACCUUUUUGCCACUUCUCACAAGUCCAAAUUAGUGUGCCGGUUAACCACACGCGCUCCACUAACGACUUUGAGAAUGCAAAUAUCACAAUUGCUAUCUAGCUAAAAUCUACUUAGUGAAAGUGUUUCCUCACCAUCAUUUUCAUGAAUCGGAGAGAAACCUUAUGACACUUAGAUUUAAUGGUGUAUGUGUUCUUAUCCAUGUGAAUUGUCAAAAUCAUAGUCACAAGACAAGGAUAAUGACAAAUCCAAACUCAUAUGGACUGAACUCAAUCUUAAUUUCUUGCCACCUGGCAGCUCAAGGGCCUACCAUUGCUUCCAAGUUGUUGUGCAACAAAUUGAGAACUCUAAGAACUCAUAUGCAAAGCCAACUUUAACUGGAAUGGGCACAGAAUAUGUCAACACGAUAGGUUAUGAACCUCAAGUCGUGUGCUAGUGAAGAACUUCAGGUUUUAUUCUUGAUUAGUUCUUGAGACUUUCAAGACCUUUAAGACUCCCACUGUCCUCUUGACAUAUAAGACUCCCUUGUCAAACAUCCAAGAGAUAGUGCGGAUUCUAAUCAAGAAAAACACUUUACCCAAUUGGCCUAAGUUGGUCUUUGUUUUAUCCAAAACAUCACAACUUACCAAUUUCAAAUGUACAAGAGUAGAAAACUUUUACUCUUACAUUUGACAAGUGUUUUAAACCUUCUUUAAGACAUGUCACUCAAAUGACAAUCUUGGAGUAUGACUCUAAGACUUGUAUUGGAACGAAGUAUGACUCAUCUUCUUGAUUUAACCAUUUCAACAAUUCAAGUUCCUCUUCUUAGUCAUAAGAAUGCACUAAGAUUUCCUUAGAGAACUAAUUUUGAUAUGGUUUCUUAAUCAUUAAGAUGAUCACAAAACUGAUACUAAAGUACUCUCCCAUCUUUUCAGAUUUGAGAAACUUUUAUCCUUCUGCCUUAUUUGAUUCUUCUUAUCGAUCUUUAGUGGUGGACUUAAUCAGUGCACAAGAAUGUGUACUCGAUCCCUAAGUCCUUUACUUGACUCACACAUCCAUGUGAACAAGUAAUUAGUCUUAAUUUUCCAAAACUUGAAAGUUCUCAUUCAUCAUGCUAUACAACUUGCAUGAUUCCAAGUUCCGGUCCAAUUGAAACUUGGGUGAUGAGAAUCUUUCCUUAUUUGGUAAAUUUAGACAUUACCACAAAUGAAAGAAUCAAUUUCAUACUUCCACUCUUGCUACUAAUGGAAUCUUAUAAGCAACAAAAAUUUCCACAGAUGCCAUUGUAAGGAUAUUUUAAAAUAAAUAAAAUCAAAAAUUUCCUUUUAUUUUAAAACUUUGCGGAAAAACUAUCCUUACAAUCCAUAUGAAAACUUGUUGUUAUCUAUUCCUAAGCAAUAUCUCAUAACUCCUAAGAAGUAGCUCAAGAAUCCGAUUUUUCAAACUAUGCGAUAGAAAUCCAUCUAUGCGAUCAGAUUCAGCAUAUUCUUCCUUUAAGUUUCUUCACUUUCCUUUGAUUCUUAAACCAUCACCAUGCGACCCGGUCACAUCAUGUAUCAAGAAUCUCAGAAUAGAAACUUAACAGAGUUAGAUAGUGGAUUUUACCUGAAGUAGAGUCAAACUUAUUGACUUUAACAUCCUUAGGUAAAUUUGGCAGCUUCGCAACCAAUGCCCUUUCUUUGGCAAUACAAACAUAUGGACCCUUUGAUAAUGGUACACAGGACUAUCACAGACUUAGCUUUUCUCUUUACCAUUUGGUCAACCGAGUUGACUAUAGCCGAUCCCUUUCCAUUGGGAAGAGAAUGCUUUACUGGAUAUCCAAUGUCAUCAUUGUCAAUGUCCAUAAAGUUUUAGGAAGUUGAUCUUAACAAAUAGAUAAGAUCAUUAAGGGUCUUGUCAUAGUCUUUUUCAUAGGUGUUCCAAAAGAACUCACUAUGUGACUUAGAAAGUAGUUGAACCACCAACUUUCUCAAGACUUUGACACCCAACUCUCCCGGCUUGUCAAUAUGUGACUACAUCUCCAAGAUGUGACCACACCUAGACCUUGCCUUGCCAAAAGGGCCUGAGUGACCUUAAACUUUUCAAGAACUUGUGGGUUAGGGAGAAUAAUUUGAAGAGGUGAAGAAGUAUGAUAUCCAUGGGACAUCAUCUUCAUUAGGAAACCUUGUUUCAAGAGAUUUGGGAAGAUCAUAGGUGUCUAAACCAGACAUCUUUUGGGAGAUAUUCAAGAUAGUUGAUUUAAAGUCCUUAAUAUGACACCCAAUAUGAAAUAUUAAGGCUAGGACCCAACAAACUAUUUUAUAACUUAGAAGAGGUAUGCCGUAAUCCAAGCUAUAAAAUAUUUGAAGGUAGGUGAAUGACGAUUCACCAAUUUCCACCAAGAUAAACGAAAUGUAUUAUUAGGUUUUAAUUGGUUUUGAAACUCCUAGAUCUUUGAGAUUCAUUGAACUUUUCAAAGGCAUGUUUCAAUCUCGAGUGUGCCCUUCAGGUUUUGUGACUGGGAUGCCGAGGAUCACAAAACAAGGUGUGAAGUAACCAUGCAAAUCACUUGGUACCCUUAAUAAAUUACCCCUCAAUCGAUGUGCCGGUUAACCACACACGCUCCAUCGAUACUAUGAUAAAUAUUAAGUCACCCUUUACCUACCUUGUUAAGUCCAAGUUAGUGUGCCGGUUAACCACACACGCUCCACUAACGACUUAGACAAAGUGUAAAGUGUAAUUUCAUGGAUUAGCACCUUAUUCACAUUUUUCCUAAGUAACUAAGAUUGGGUAUUAUUAAGAGUUUAGUUACUUAGUAUUAUCAUUAAUACUUUUAAUGAAGGGAGAAUUCUAGUCCUGUCAAACCCGUUCGGCUAACGACCCUCCACCAGUCAAGCAAGCGGUGGGUGAGAGUGGACACCCAUUAAGUUGCCAUUUUAUAGGCAACAACCUUAUACCCACCUUAUAGACCGGCUUCGUGAAUGAGGCGUACUAGCGGUAAGACUGACUUUACUCUUAUACAUAUAUAUAUUAUUAACUUAUAAUAUUAUAAAGUAUAAGGGUUGAAUUUUAACUUUUAAAAUUCUAAGGGCUAACUUGGAAUUAAAGUAUUCAUAAGUGAAAACUUUACAAAUUCCAAAACUUGAGGGCAAGUUUUGAAACUAUUCAAAACUAAUUAAUUCCAUAACUUAUGUGUUUAAAGUAGUUUUAAUCCAAAAACUCUUCAAGUUCCAUAACUUGAGGACAAGUUAUGGAAGACUUUAAACUAAUAAAAGAAUUAACUUUUCUUUAUUUUAUAACUUAUGGAAUUAAUUAAGGUUACACUUUUUUUUUUUUUAUUUUAUUUUAUUAAAUGAAGAGACUCUUGGUCCUCCAUAACUUGAGGACAAGUUAUGGAGUCAUAAAACCAUUUAAUUAGAACUAGACUCUUCAUUUUUGUAACCUUUGCCAAUUUUUAUGAGUUUUAUGAUUCUUAAAUGUGACUUUUCAUAUAACUUGAGGACAAGUUACAAAAACACAUUUUAGAAUCAAUUCUUAGAUUAAUUUGGAUUAAAACCAACUAUCACAUAAUUUUAUUCAUUAAUCUAAAUUCACUCAUAAAACAAGGUAACACAAAAAACUUUUGGUGAUCCAUAACUUAUUCUUAAGUUAUGGAAUCCUUUAAAACAUUAACACCAAAUUUUGUAACUCCAAAAAAACUUUGAAUCAAUUUUUUUUUUAAAACCUUUUCAUAUCCAUAACUUAUGGAGGUUUCAAAAAAUAAAACUCUUUAGAUCAAACUUUUAAAACUAAUAAAAUAAUCAUAUUAUUUUAUCUUUUAUUAAAUUUGACCUAAUUCAACUCAUAAAGCAAAUUAUUCAAAUUUUACAAAUAAUUAGUUUUUCACAAGAACAAGUAAUUAUCUUAAAAUUUGACAAACUUCAUGUUUUUUUUUUUUUUUUUUUUCAACUUUGAAAAUAAAAUAUUUGCAUCAAUAUAACAGAAAACAACCCGUGGCUCUGAUACCACUGUUGGGUUUUGAGCAUUCUAACACUUCCUAAGUGUACAUGCAACCCUAAAUACCUUGGAUCUAUGUUUUCUCUAUUAUACAUGCAAAUAAGAACUUCCAAGGUAUUAUCCUAAUCUAGCAUACAAAACACUAACUAUAGCAAGAUAGAAUACAUACCUUUUUAUGUAGAAAGUCUUCAUGAAGCUUGAGUGCCUAGUGCCCCAAGUGUGACACCUCAAAUGGAAUCACAAUCAUCAAAACACUUGGAAUAGCUUGA